UACGUAAGGGGCAAGCGUUGUCCGGAUUUAUUGGGCGUAAAGAGCGUGUAGGCGGCCAGACAGGUCUGCUGUGAAAACUCGAGGCUCAACCUCGAGACGCCGGUGGAAACCGUCUGGCUAGAGUCCGGAAGAGGAGAGUGGAAUUCCUGGUGUAGCGGUGAAAUGCGCAGAUAUCAGGAAGAACACCCGUGGCUAAGGCGGCUCUCUAGUACGGUACUGACGCUGAGACGCGAAAGCGUGGGGAGCGAACAGG
rnacentral:rRNA from 1 species